GACGAACGCUGGCGGCGUGCCUAACACAUGCAAGUCGAACGGAGAUAUGAUUUCGGUUGUAUCUUAGUGGCGAACGGGUGAGUAACGCGUGAGCAACCUGACUCUUAGAGGGGGAUAACACUCGGAAACGGGUGCUAAUACCGCAUAAGACCACGACAUGGCAUCAUGACGAGGUCAAAGGAGCAAUCCGCUGAGAGAGGGGCUCGCGUCCCAUUAGAUAGAUGGCGGGGUAACGGCCCACCAUGUCAGCGAUGGGUAGCCGAGCUGAGAGGCUGAUCGGCCACACUGGAACUGAGACACGGUCCAGACUCCUACGGGAGGCAGCAGUGGGGAAUAUUGGGCAAUGGGCGCAAGCCUGACCCAGCAACGCCGCGUGAGGGAAGAAGGGCUUUCGGGUCGUUAAAGGCCCCUUUUUGUAGGGGAUGAGGAAGGACAGUACCCUCAGAAUAAGCCUCGGCUAACUACGUG
rnacentral:rRNA from 1 species